AAUGCUGACAUAAGUAACGAUAAAGCGGGUGAAAAGCCCGCUCGCCGGAAGACCAAGGGUUCCUGUCCAACGUUAAUCGGGGCAGGGUGAGUCGACCCCUAAGGCGAGGCCGAAAGGCGUAGUCGAUGGGAAACAGGUUAAUAUUCCUGUACUUGGUGUUACUGCGAAGGGGGGACGGAGAAGGCUAUGUUGGCCGGGCGACGGUUGUCCCGGUUUAAGCGUGUAGGCUGGUUUUCCAGGCAAAUCCGGAAAAUCAAGGCUGAGGCGUGAUGACGAGGCACUACGGUGCUGAAGCAACAAAUGCCCUGCUUCCAGGAAAAGCCUCUAAGCAUCAGGUAACAUCAAAUCGUACCCCAAACCGACACAGGUGGUCAGGUAGAGAAUACCAAGGCGCUUGAGAGAACUCGGGUGAAGGAACUAGGCAAAAUGGUGCCGUAACUUCGGGAGAAGGCACGCUGAUAUGUAGGUGAAGUCCCUCGCGGAUGGAGCUGAAAUCAGUCGAAGAUACCAGCUGGCUGCAACUGUUUAUUAAAAACACAGCACUGUGCAAACACGAAAGUGGACGUAUACGGUGUGACGCCUGCCCGGUGCCGGAAGGUUAAUUGAUGGGGUUAGC
rnacentral:rRNA from 1 species